AAUCUAGUCAAGAGGCUCUCGACAAAUUCCAAACCUCUUUAAAAAUCAUUUGUGAAGAAUCGGAAGCUGGAACCCCAGCGAUAAUGGAGAAUUACAUUUGAACC
rnacentral:sRNA from 1 species